rnacentral:rRNA from 1 species
GAUGAACGCUAGCGACAGGCCUAACACAUGCAAGUCGAGGGGCAGCACGAGGUAGCAAUACUUGGGUGGCGACCGGCGGACGGGUGAGUAACACGUAUGCAACCUGCCCGUAAUCGGGGGAUAACCCGGAGAAAUUCGGACUAACACUCCAUGCACCUGAAAUGUCACAUGACGAAUCAGGUAAACGCAAGGAUUACGGAUGGGCAUGCGGAUGAUUAGCUAGUUGGUAGGGUAACGGCCUACCAAGGCAAUGACGGGUAGGGGACCUGAGAGGGUGGCCCCCCACAAUGGAACUGAAACACGGUCCAUACACCUACGGGUGGCAGCAGUAGGGAAUAUUAGAAAUGGGCGGAAGCCUGAUCUAGCAACACCGCGUGUGCGAUGAAGGCCUUCGGGUCGUAAAGCACUUUUUGGAGGGAAUAGGAAGGAAGGUACCUCCAGAAUAAGUCUCGGCUAACUACGUG